rnacentral:misc_RNA from 1 species
GGCAGCGACGGCGCGCCUCUCCCGCGAGUCAUCAGUUUCGGCACGGCGGUUGGUUUCUUGUGCUGCGUACCCGCGCGAGAGGCAUCCUUCUCUCGUCCCACCGUCCCUCUGUCCGUCCGCUGCUCCCCCUUCGGGGCGGGGCACGCGACGGAACUCGUACCCGGUCCGUUACCCGCGUCGCCUCCGGCUGUCGCGGCGAGCGGGCAGUGCCCGAUCUCUCGGAUGCGGAAAGCACCGGGGGGCGCCGACGACGCGCGUCGUCCUCGCGCCCGAGCAACGCGCUCAGACCCGACCCAGCGGACGACCGUCUCUCCCGUCGCGGCCCGGCCGCGCGGGAGGGACGUCGCCGAGGAAUGCUACCUGGUUGAUCCUGCCAGU